rnacentral:rRNA from 1 species
GAUGAACGCUGGCGGCGUGCUUAACACAUGCAGGUCGAACGAUGAAGCACAGCUUGCUGGGUGGAUUAGUGGCGAACGGGUGAGUAACACGUGAGUAACCUGCCCUUAACUCUGGGAUAAGCCUGGGAAACUGGGUCUAAUACCGGAUAGGAGCGUCCACCGCAUGGUGGGUGUUGGAAAGAUUUAUCGGUUUUGGAUGGACUCGCGGCCUAUCAGCUUGUUGGUGAGGUAAUGGCUCACCAAGGCGACGACGGGUAGCCGGCCUGAGAGGGUGACCGGCCACACUGGGACUGAGACACGGCCCAGACUCCUACGGGAGGCAGCAGUGGGGAAUAUUGCACAAUGGGCGCAAGCCUGAUGCAGCGACGCCGCGUGAGGGAUGACGGCCUUCGGGUUGUAAACCUCUUUCAGUAGGGAAGAAGCGAAAGUGACGGUACCUGCAGAAGAAGCACCGGCUAACUACGUG